CCUACGGGAGGCAGCAGUAGGGAAUCUUCCACAAUGGGCGAAAGCCUGAUGGAGCAACGCCGCGUGGGUGAAGAAGGUCUUCGGAUCGUAAAACCCUGUUGUUAGAGAAGAAAGUGCGUGAGAGUAACUGUUCACGGUUCGACGGUAUCUAACCAGAAAGCCACGGCUAACUACGUGCCAGCAGCCGCGGUAAUACGUAGGUGGCAAGCGUUAUCCGGAUUUAUUGGGCGUAAAGGGAACGCAGGCGGUUUGUUAAGUCUGAUGUGAAAGCCUUCGGCUUAACCAGAGUAGUGCAUUGGAAACUGGGAGACUUGAGUGCAGAAGAGGAGAGUGGAACUCCAUGUGUAGCGGUGAAAUGCGUAGAUAUCUGGAAGAACACCAGUGGCGAAAGCGGCUCUCUGGUCUGUAACUGACGCUGAGGUUCGAAAGCGUGGGUAGCAAACAGGAUUAGAUACCCCAGUAGUC
rnacentral:rRNA from 1 species